CUGGCUGCCACUGGGGAAGGGUCUCUUGCUGGAGAUUGCUCUUGUGGAGUUAACUGUGAGCCUAUAAUGCUGGAAAAUUAGGUUUUCCUCUCAACAUAAGCUCCGUGGCAAAGUAUUUCACACUUCUGAAGCUGCCAGUGCAAUGUUAACUUCCAUCCCUCAGUUCUGCUGUCUGAAGACACUCUGAAAAGCAAGAAGACAGAGGUCCAGUUUGUGUGAAGAGAUGAUGAGGAACACCAGCCUAAGACCUUACUCUAGCAGAAGAUAGAGGAGCUGCAAAAACAUGAAUUCUGGACAUACUGGUGAAUUAUAAACUCAACAACCAGCUGGAUUUGGGAGGAUACAGCAGUAAGGUAGAAAGGAGGAGGAAGGCACAGAUGAGUUGGCAUUGGUAGGGUACCAAAAGAUGGAAAAUCCUCCUCCUUGGUGGAAACAUCAUCUUUGUCAAGUCAGGACACUGCUCUGCAUCUUUUUUGAUCAGCUGAGUUUGGUUUUUGCUGCCCUGUGAGGUGGGUUACCAGGGCCAGUUCCACCCUGUCUGGGACAAGGAUGUGCUUUUCCAUCCUGCCCACAAGAGCAGAACCAGGUCCUGCCCCAUCCCAAAACCCAUCGUUUACAAGAUACCUGCUGGAGCUUUCAAUACUGGGCUAGGUCUGUACUGCAGGCACAAAUAUACAAAACACACAAUACACUACAGCUGUGAUUCUGUUGUCACUACCAUGAUUUUGUUGUUUACUCCUGCAUACCUUCAUUCCUGAAUGUGCAGCUAUUCCAGCAUCAUGAUGGUACUAGAGAAGGGAUGCACCCCAAACCUGCCAACAGCACAUAUGUGGGUGCCACACAUUUCAUAAUAAUUCUGCACGAAGGAAAUACUUUACUUGCUUAAGUUGCACGCUUCUUAUCCACUCACUAGCUUUGGAUCUUGUGGCAUUGCACAUUCUGCCUAAUCUUGUCAGAGACUGUUAGAAGAAAUGUUAUAUUUUGUAACAUUCAGAAACUAGGUUAUACUGAUGUUUCCUUUUGAAGUAGCGAGCUAAUACUUUACUGUGUUCAUAGCAUGUGUAGUAAGAACUGCAUGAAAGAUUUUUUCCCCCAGAUUUUGGACAGUAUUGCAGAAAAAAAAUCUUUACCUAGGCUACUAAGUCUCUACUACCCAACAAGCUUCUAAUACACUUUUUCCAUAGGUGGCACAAGGUGAACGAUGGCAGAUAUCUGUGGGCAUGGAUCAAUCUCUGCUCAGCUAGAUGCGCUCUAUAAAGCACAGUGAGCUCCUGUGGUUUUUGAGCAGCUGCCACUGGGGUUAUAUAUGCAUAAUGGACAAAUCCUAUCCAAACUCCAAGUGUGCUUCUUACAGAGCUUAGCAAAGAUGUUAUUGGAGAGGUUCCCUUAUCCUAGGAAUGUAACCAUCCCAGUCACUGCUUUUGUUUUUCACUUUUGCACUACCAUUUUAGAAUAUAUUUGAGUUUAUUUGUUCAAAAUGAGGAAACGCUUCCAGUACCUUGGCUUGGAUUUUCAGGUUUAUAAACAAGCAAAUAAUUUGUGAUUUGUCUGUAAGCAAACAGUGAAGUCCAAAAGAUGAGAAUACAAGAUCGUAACAAGUAACACUCCUCCUCCGGUACACCUUGCAAAUGUACAGUAACAUUACAAAGACCUUUAUUUCAGGUAUUCAGGGAACGGGAACGGAUUAAAAAGCCACAUGAAGUUAAUUAGAUCCAACGAUUUAGGGUUGAGGAGGGCUGUCAAAAGAAUAUUCUGCAACAAGCAGGCACCCGAAUGAAGCAGACCCGUGGCUGUCGGUGAUGACUGUAAUGGGUUCUCUGUGACAGGUCGAAUUGAACCGAGGAAAAGAGCCGCGGGAAAAAUAUCUCCUCACAUCGCCCACCCUGCGUGUUUCCCGCGGCGGGAGCGGGGAAAGCGGCGCCGCCUCGCCUCAGCUCCAGCCUCAGCCCCAGCCCCAGGGCAGCACCCCCGGCAGCGGU